CCGCCAUACUGUAUUUUAUAGUAACUCUCAUUUUUAUUCCUCCCUUUUACUCCCGCUCGUGGAAGGUUUUCCUGGAGAAUGAAGUGCGGUUUGGUUUCCUUGUCAACGGAAGAUGAAGUGAACAACUGAACAUCUCCCCAGUGCAGACUUGGACCUUUCCUCCUGCUCUGGACCUUUCACCUGGCGUCAGCACAGCUCAGAAGGAUGAACGAA
rnacentral:lncRNA from 1 species